rnacentral:rRNA from 1 species
UACGAGUGGUGCAAGCGUUAUUCGGAAUUAUUGGGCGUAAAGGGUGUGUAGACGGUAUAUCAAGUCAACUGUUUAAUUCUCCGGCUUAACUGGAGGUCAGCGGUAGAAACUAAUAUGCUGGAGGGUGAGAGAGAGAAGUGGAAUUCUCGGAGUAGCGGUAAAAUGCGUAGAUCUCGAGAGGAACACCGAUGGCGAAGGCAGCUUCUUGGCUCAUUCCUGACGUUGAAACACGAAAGCGUGGGGAGCAAACAGG